rnacentral:misc_RNA from 1 species
CGACAAUCAUCAUGGAUAUGUGAGAAAGAACAUCUUGUAACACUCUUUUAAGAACUUGAACAGGCAAUAUCUGUUGAGCUGUGGAAACCAGAGUUUCCAAAUAUAUAAUAACCUCAUUUACGUAUUCGUUACCAUUUUGUAGAGGCUCAUCAGGGAUCCAGUUAACAUUCUCAAUCAACAUCAUGAAACCAUCAACCUUUG